rnacentral:rRNA from 1 species
GAUGAACGCUGGCGGCGUGCCUAAUACAUGCAAGUCGAGCGAACGGACGAUAAGCUUGCUUCUCUGAUGUUAGCGGCGGACGGGUGAGUAACACGUGGAUAACCUACCUAUAUGACUGGGAUAACUUCGGGAAACCGUAUCUAAUACCGGAGAAUAUUUUGAACCGCAUGGUUCAAAAGUGAAAGACGGUCUUUCUGUCUCUUAUAGAUGGAUCCGCGCUGCAUUAGCUAGUUGGUAAGGUAACGGCCUACCAAGGCAACGAUGCAUAGCCGACCUGAGAGGGUGAUCGGCCACACUGGAACUGAGACACGGUCCAGACUCCUACGGGAGGCAGCAGUAGGGAAUCUUCCGCAAUGGGCGAAAGCCUGACGGAGCAACGCCGCGUGAGUGAUGAAGGCCUUCGGAUCGUAAAGCUCUGUUAUUGGGGAAGAACAGAUGUGUAAGUAAAUGUGCACAUCUUGACGGUACCUAAUCAAAAAGCAACGGCUAACUACGUG